UAAAACUUCUAUCAUAUGAGGAUAAUACCAUGAAAGUUUUUGUUACUCUUGAUAGUUGAUACAUUGCAAGGCUUAUCUCCCAAAAUAUUAAGUUAGUAUAUAUUAAAAGUCAUGAUCGCACUUGCUUUGCUUGGGCUAAAUUUAGUUUAUCAAUCUACAUAUGAUGAUGAAUUGAAAACUCAAGAAAGUCACCAAUAAUGCAUCGGAAAGAUUUUAGAGUUUGAGAAGAUUAAAGUAUUAUUGAAAAGCAUACCGACCGACAACUAAUACCCAUGGGCAUAGACUGACAGAGCCAGGCCAAAACAUUAUUACAACUAUCAAUAUAAUAAAAUUUAGAGUCUGCUGGAUGUGAAACGUUCUAUAAAUAAUUACUGCUAAUGUUAUAUACUUUUGUUUUCAUUCUGUUUUUUUAAUUGGAUAUUUUUGUAGCAAAAAACACAAGAGUAUAAUAGUUCAUAUUGUAUCAUUUUGUGCUAUUAUCCGAGUUUAAACCGACAAUGCACACUGAAGAAAAAACGAAUCUUGUUUAUUGUUGGACCUUUGGGACGUCGCUCUCCAUCCCCACUAAACCUCCCCUGCUUUUAUUGUACCGAGUUUUAGAGGUAUACAUGGAUUUUUUUGGUUGUGUCAAGUUAUAACAAGGAUAGUGAUAAGACAGACUAAAACAUCACCUCAUAUACUGAGUAACUUGGAUUCCAAUGGAGGAAGAGAGAAGAAGCGAAGAAGAAAGAUCUCAUCUUUGGGGUCCUUUCCAAUUCUGUAACGAAGCUCUCAAGAGUUUCCUAAAGUGUCUUGGUCUUUAUACCUCUCCUUCGAAUCCUUCGGCAUCUUCGGUUCAGGAGGAUGCCGUGACGACAAGGGGAAUUUUAGUCGGAUCAAAGAAAAGGCCGAGAGAGCCACAUAGCUCUGGAAAGCCAGGCGGCCACAGCUAAAUUAAGAACAUUUGAUUUGUUGUUUUGCUAUCUAUCAGCCAUAAAAGGCUAAAAGCCACGCGGAGAAAACAGAUUACUAGUUGCAUGCAAUGUUUCACGUUUAUCAUACACAUCGUUUUAUGUAUAUUUUUGGCUAAUAAUGAUUUCAUAUCAUGAAGUUCCAUAAAGUCUUAAAAUUAUUCAAAACAUAAAGGCUUUUGUUUUUCAGACGAUAGUGGACGGUGACCAAAUGGUACGGAAAAUAAUGUAUCUCUGGUUAAUAUUAAAAUAUGGUUUAAUAUAAAAAUAUAUCCUUUUGUUCCAUUAUAUUGAGAUUUUUGGUAAAAUCUUGAAACUUAAGAAAACAGAUAAAAUUAUAUAUUUUAUUUUAACAUGAAAACCACAUUUAGUGUUUUAUAAAAAAUAGUCGAACAAUCAUAAAUUAGUGUAAAAUAUAAACAAAUUUGAUAGAAUAAAGAAAAAUGGAAAUAUACAUAGAAACAAUAAAGUAAAAUCGUCAGAACAGGCUAUCUAUAAAACUUAAUUUAAAAUUUGUAGACAAGAUAUUAAUUUAAAAUUUGAUCAGAAUAUAUUCCAAGCUCACAACUUAAUUAGUUAAGGAUUUUUGUUUUACCAGCAAACUGAUGUAAAAGUCCGUGCAAUGCUUCCCUUGUACUAGCUUUUACUAAUUUUAUUGAGAACAGAAAGUCGAUCAAAGAAAAUCAGUCACAUAUUCAGAUAAACACGAAAAUCAGAUGAUUCCUUCUUUUUUUUUAUUCACUGGUCCAAUGUCCGUUGACCUAUCACUAGGGAGAGGGACACUAAAGUUCCAGGUAAAGCAUAUAUCACCAGAUUCACCACCGGUAAUUUUAACAGAAUAAGAUACUGUAUACUUCUAUUACUUCACGUAUUCUGAUCGACUACGAUAUAUGAAUUCAACGAAUAUACUUUUUGAUAUUUCCUAGCAUCGCUAAUCUGAACAAACGAAUGCGUGUCAAAUCUUAAAUAAAUACAACUAAUUGCAAACGGGAAACAUGCAAUGAUAUUUUCAUCAAAAAAAAUCAUGCAAUGAUAGGAAUAUAUGCGACCGAUGAGCUGUUACACUUAAAUAAAUUAUAUAAAUAUAUUUUUAUAGUAAUCAACGUAAACGCUCAAAGUUGACCAAGAUCAAUGAUGAGUGACUUGAACUCUAUAUUAAUGAUCUGAUUAGUCUCUUCUAAGCACACAAUUAGAAGAAAGAAAGAAGAGAUGGAGAGCAAAGGAAGAACAGAAAGUGGAGUUUUUUCUUACGUCUACAUCCCUUUUAGUUUCAUCCACGAGAUUCUACAAUCUCUCUUCGUUAAGUUUCUCGGUAUAAGAUCACCUCCCAGUAAUUUUCCGAUAUCGGAAGAAGAGGAAGUGACAGAGGUUGUGGAAGUGACGUCCAGAAAAUCGCAUCUGGAAUAUAGUUCCGGCAAGCCUGGAGGUACCAACAUGUCUCGUGGCUAAUGUGUUCUAUUCCGGCGUGUCGUCCAUGUGAAACAAAGUCAAAGUCAAGUUAAUAAUGUACGGAGAAAAUCUCGUACUUUUAUGUUUCAUUAUUGUAUAUUUGUUUAUAAUUUUUUUGUUGUGUUGUGUGUAUUAUAUAUGAUUCUUGGA